rnacentral:rRNA from 1 species
GUGAGGAAUAUUGGACAAUGGGCGCAAGCCUGAUCCAGCCAUGUCGCGUGCAGGAAGACGCAUCUAUGGUGUGUAAACUGCUUUUGUACGGGAAGAAACACUCCCUCGUGAGGGAGCUUGACGGUACCGUAAGAAUAAGGAUCGGCUAACUCCGUGCCAGCAGCCGCGGUAAUACGGAGGAUCCAAGCGUUAUCCGGAAUCAUUGGGUUUAAAGGGUCCGUAGGCGGUUUAAUAAGUCAGUGGUGAAAGCCCAUCGCUCAACGAUGGAACGGCCAUUGAUACUGUUAGACUUGAAUUACAAGGAAGUAACUAGAAUAUGUAGUGUAGCGGUGAAAUGCUUAGAUAUUACAUGGAAUACCAAUUGCGAAGACAGGUUACUACUUGUGGAUUGACGCUGAUGGACGAAAGCGUGGGGAGCGAACAGGAUUAGAAACCCGAGUAGUCC